GACGAAGGGGGCUAGCGUUGUUCGGAAUUACUGGGCGUAAAGCGUGUGUAGGUGGUUAUCCAAGUUGGAUGUGAAAGCCUUGAGCUCAACUCAAGAAAUGCAUUCAGGACUGGAUGACUAGAGGACCGGAGAGGAUAGUGGAAUUCCCAGUGUAGUGGUGAAAUACGUAGAGAUUGGGAAGAACACCAGUGGCGAAGGCGGCUAUCUGGACGGUUUCUGACACUAAGACUCGAAAGCGUGGGGAGCAAACAGG
rnacentral:rRNA from 1 species